UGGAAGAGCACUUUCUUAUUUCUGAACGUUGGAGCAGAAGCAAUGCUCAAAGACUGUCUGGUUCCUCUAAUUAUCUCUGCCAAGAAUGGAAAUACUGUUAAAACAUUGAGCGGAUUCAGUGCUUUAAGAAAAGUAUCAACUAUUGCAUCCUGCUGUACGGUUGCGAGUACAGUGCACAUUCUGCAGUGUUGUGAAGUGUUUCUGAAGUCCUGAU
rnacentral:lncRNA from 1 species